UCGGACGUGGUGUAGCGACACGGCCUCUUUGAAUAAUUUGGUCGGCGACUCAUUGUUAGAGGCAGUCCUGGGUUCGAUUCCCGGCGUCCGAG